rnacentral:rRNA from 1 species
CCGUAGCCUGGUAGCGGGGGAUAACUAUUGGAAACGAUAGCUAAUACCGCAUAACAGUAGAUAUUGCAUGAUAUCUGCUUGAAAGGUGCAAAUGCAUCACUACCAGAUGGACCUGCGUUGUAUUAGCUAGUUGGUGGGGUAACGGCUCACCAAGGCGACGAUACAUAGCCGACCUGAGAGGGUGAUCGGCCACACUGGGACUGAGACGCGGCCCAG